UUGUUAUGAUGAACACAUUUAUUCAGUUCUGCUUCCGAAGGGAGAGAAAUCUCCUUGUGGACAACGUCUAUACCAAAACUCUCAAUCCUGAUCC
rnacentral:snoRNA from 1 species